AUACGGAGGGGGCUAGCGUUGUUCGGAUUUACAGGGCGUAAAGCGCACGUAGGCGGUUUAUCAAGUUAGGCGUGAAAGCCCCGGGCUCAACCCGGGAAAUGCGCUUAUUACUGAUAGACUAGAGAGCGGGAGAGGGUAGCGGAAUUCCCAGUGUAGAGGUGAAAUUCGUAGAUAUUGGGAAGAACACCAGUUGCGAAGGCGGCUACCUGGACCGGUACUGACGCUGAGGUGCGAAAGCGUGGGGAGCAAACAGGAUUAGAAACCCCAGUAGUCC
rnacentral:rRNA from 1 species